rnacentral:rRNA from 1 species
UAUGUAGGGGGCUAGCGUUGUCCGGAUUUAUUGGGCGUAAAGAGCGUGUAGGCGGCCAGGUAGGUCUGGUGUGAAAACUCGAGGCUUAACCUCGAGAUGUCAUCGGAAACCAUCUGGCUAGAGUCCGGAAGAGGAGAGUGGAAUUCCUGGUGUAGCGGUGAAAUGCGCAGAUAUCAGGAAGAACACCAAUGGCGAAAGCAGCUCUCUGGGACGGUACUGACGCUGAGACGCGAAAGCGUGGGGAGCGAACAGG